rnacentral:lncRNA from 1 species
UUUUGAAUUAAUUACCUUGAGUUGGGUUGAGAAUAAUUGUAUGUGUUGAAAAGGUUCAAGUUUGAGGUUGUUUGGGGGAAAGGCAAAAGAAAAGUAUUGAGCUCAAGGGUUGAAAAAGAAAAAUGCAUGAGAAAAGAAAAAGAAGAAAUAAAAAAGCAUGAAAGAUGAGCUCAUUGAAAAGAAAAGGGGAAGAAGUUGGGAAUUAGUGAGAUUGGUGAAAAAAAAAAGAGUUUGUACUUGAACUUUGAAUGUUAGAAUAACUCUCUUAACUCAAGGAUUUUGUGAUCUAGAAAAACCAAUUUUUCUUGUUAGCCCAACCUCAUUACAAGCCUUAGAGAAGUCCUUGUGAUGACAUUUGCAUGUAAGAAUGUUGAUUGUUUUAGAUGAAGGGCAAUUUUGUUUUAUGUGAC